AUAGAAAACACCGAGAGCUCCUGCGCUCCUGCCGUGAACGUGGGAGGGAGGGGGAGACCAAAGACCAAUCGCAGCGGUCGUGUAUAUAACAAAACAAAGCAUACAUACAUAGACCCAAGCCAAGGCAAAAGGAGCCAGGAGUUGAAUCAUUUUGAGCUCCUGCGCCGCGCUAGAUCUGAAGAGAAGCAAAGAUGCAGCAUCACAGCAGCCUGCUGUGCUAGACCAGUCCUUGAGCGUGGUAGCAUCGGACUCGGAGAUGACGGGGAUGAUGGAGUCGGUGAAGGCGAGGCCGGCGAAGGGCGGCAGCGAGUACCGGCGGGUGGAGCCGGAGGAGGAGGAGGAGCUGGACGGGGCGGAGUGGGCGCGCAGGGCCGAGGCGGGGAGCCGCCGGCGGAAGGCGGCCGAGCGGUACGUCUUCACCUGCGCGCUCUUCGCCUCGCUCAACGCCAUCCUCCUCGGCUACGAUGUCGGUGUCAUGAGUGGCGCAAUCAUCUACAUCCAGAAAGAUCUCCACAUCACCGAGUUUCAGGAAGAGAUCCUAGUUGGUUGCCUAAGUGUGAUCUCACUCUUGGGAAGCCUGUCAGGAGGAAGAACGUCCGAUGCCAUCGGCAGGAAAUGGACAAUGGGCCUUGGUGCGAUCAUCUUCCAGACCGGUGCAGCCAUCAUGACAUUCGCUCCUUCGUUCACCGUGCUCAUGAUAGGGAGGCUUCUCGCCGGGGUGGGCAUCGGCUUUGGCGCCAUGAUAUCUGCCGUCUACAUUGCCGAGAUCUCCCCCGCGGCUGCCCGGGGGACUCUCACAUCCCUCCCUGAGAUCUGCAUCAACUUGGGGAUCCUUCUCGGCUACGUUUCCAAUUAUGCUUUCUCGGGCCUCUCCGAGCACAUCAGUUGGAGGGUCAUGCUUGGUGUCGGUAUCCUCCCGUCUGUCUUCAUCGGCGUCGCGCUUUUUGUGAUCCCGGAGUCCCCCAGGUGGCUGAUGAUGGAGAAGAGAGUUCCAGAGGCCAGGGCGGUGUUGCUGCAGAUAAGUGAAUCGGAGGCUGAGGUUGAAGAAAGGCUGGCUGAGAUUGAGGAAGCCGCAAAUAUCAUGAAGUCGGUUAAUUCUGAGGACAAGGCGGUGUGGAGGGAGCUGCUGAACCCUUCUCCGGCCGUUCGUCGGAUGCUGUAUGCUGGCUGUGGUAUUCAGUUGUUCCAGCAGAUCACUGGAAUUGAUGCUACUGUCUAUUACAGCCCAACAAUUUUCAGGGAUGCUGGAAUCAAGUCUGACCAGGAGCUUCUUGCAGCAACAGUUGCUGUUGGAUUUACUAAAACGAUUUUCAUACUGGUUGCCAUUUUCCUCAUUGAUAAAGUUGGGCGCAAACCGCUUCUGUAUGUCAGCACCAUUGGCAUGACGGUCUGCUUAUUUGCCUUGGGGACUGCACUUACAUUGCGAAAGCAUGCUGAGGGGCUUAUUUCUCCAAAUCUUGGGAUUGAUAUGGCGAUCUUUGCAGUUUGCGGGAAUGUGGCAUUCUUUUCGAUCGGGAUGGGACCGAUAUGCUGGGUGUUAUCUUCAGAGAUAUUUCCUAUAAGAUUGCGAGCUCAGGCAUCAGCACUUGGUCAAGUAGGUGGCAGAGUGGGCAGUGGCUUGGUUUCCAUGUCGUUCCUCUCCAUGGCCCGUGCUAUAUCCGUGGGGGGAAUGUUCUUCGUCUUUGCAGCGAUCUCGACCGUCUCCGUUGUGUUUGUGUACUUCUGUGUGCCGGAAACUAAAGGGAAAACUCUGGAGCAGAUUGAGAUAAUGUUUGAAGGUGGCAAGGAGUGGAAAGGAGGUGGCGAGGUCGAGCUUGAAGAUACACAGCAUUUAAUUCAGGGUGACAAGAAAGCUUUCUCUCUAGGUUGAUACAAUCAGCAAAGCAACAAGAAGCUUCAUGUCAGUGCUGAAACAGCCUCGUCCUGCUUCGGGCAUCAGAUUGAAAAAUGAUGAAGCUGCCUUCAGCUGCUGCCGAUUUUGAGGGCUCAACAGGACUUUACUGCGCAUAGAAAAAAAAGGGUGAGAACAAGUGGUGUGAUGCGAACCUCGUGUCUCUUACCUCCGACUGAAAACUAACUGCCAAUAUGAACUUGCAGUCUUUGAAAGUGUUUUUUGUCUCUAGCGCUCUAUGCCUACACGACAAGUGUAAUAUGGCAAGCAAAAAAGAUGUCUUCUGAAUCAUAGCCCUAGUAUCGAGUUCGUUUCGAAGAAUUAGCCAAAAGAACACAUUAUGUUCCUUGUGACAACAGGAGUGCCACAGCCAUUUGAAAGUUGCAGGGAGUUUGUGCUGCCCAUUGAAAUCUGGCAUGCUUUUAAGACAGAAUAAGAAGGCCCGCACGGAGGAGUCCAUGAAUCAUGGUCAUAUGAUAGGUUUUGCAUCUUCAAGAGAUGGUGAUUGGUGAAGUUGUCGCAACUCUUUUUUUUUCAAGGAUACGUCAGGAAUGACGUAUCGAGAUCAUAGAUAGAAAGUGCCAAGAUGGCAAAGAUUUGUCGCAACUCUUGAAAGGCCUGAAGUAGUAGAGGAAGGUGAAAGAGAUCCACCAAACAUCAUGUAAUAGUGAUAUGUUCUUACAGAUCCACCAAACAUCAUGUAAUAUCGAUGUGUUCUUAGAUUGGCGUAUGUUACUAGUACUAGGUGAGGUAAUGGGAGCUGAAAAUCCAUG
rnacentral:rRNA from 1 species